rnacentral:rRNA from 1 species
CCUACGGGAGGCAGCAGUGGGGAAUUUUGGACAAUGGGCUCACGCCUGAUCCAGCUAUUCCGCGUGUGGGAUGACGGCCCUCGGGUUGUAAACCACUUUUGUAGAGAACGAAAUGACACCUUCGAGUAACGGGUGUUGCUGACGGUACUCUAAGAAUAAGCACCGGCUAACUACGUGCCAGCAGCCGCGGGAAUACGUAGGGUGCGAGCGUUAAUCGGAAUUACUGGGCGUAAAGGGUGCGCAGGCGGUUGAGUACGACAGAUGGGAAAUCCGCGGGCUUAACGCGGGAAUGGAAUAUGUGACUGCUCGACUAGAGUGUGUCAGAGGGAGGUGGAAUUCCACGUGUAGCAGUGAAAUGCGUAGAUAUGUGGAAGAACACCGAUGGCGAAGGCAGCAUCCUGGGACAUAACUGACGCUCAGGCACGAAAGCGUGGGGAGCAAACAGGAUUAGAUACCCUAGUAGUC